GAAGGAGUCGCCUGAAUGCGUCGCGGCCGCGGUGACGCAAUCGGUCUGGGAAGGAUGAGCAGCCUCCGGAGGACACAGCCGCUGGAUUGAGACACGGCCGCGAACUCCCGGUUCGCAGCUGCCCAGCCGACAUGGGCUGAUGCUCGGGUUGUGUAUUCAUCAGCAUCCGGCCAAAGCAAAACAACUCGCGUCCGGGGGACCCGCACAGCUCCCCCUCCGCUCCCGCGUCCCGCUUCCGGCCCGGCGGGUUUGCGUCUGGAGGAGAGAAGCACCAGUCGUCUUCUUACUGCUCUAAUAACCACGGUGAGAUGGACGUGUCUCCGUGAGGAGUCUGACCGUGUGAACGCAUGAACGGAUCCGGAGCACCGGCCCUUCGUCGCCCCACAGGGCAACAACUCUGUGCCGGGUUCAGGGUGGACGCCGGUCUGUCCUCCCUCCUCAUUCCUUCCCAUUGGCUCGCUUAUCACCAGUCAUGCAGGGACACGCGUGUGCGUGAGGACGUGUGUGCGUUCAGAGGAGCCGGGUCGUCUGUAGUUGAUUCUGCCCCGGUGCUGCCCGGCCCGGCUCCCCUCCCACCCGCUGCUGCUGCUGCUGCUGCUUUGGACUCUCCCUUUUUCAAUGGACUUCACAGCCUCUGACCAGCUUCCUGGAGCCAUGGGUGGAGUAAACACCACCCUUUGUCCGGGGCCAACCCUGUUUAAACCACAUCACGCGGUGGAGAGGAGUGACAGUGUCCUUGCCCGGCCCGCUGGGAGAGGACCAUGGCCCUGAGUGACGCCUGCGGGGACCCUCCGGCCCUCAGCAAUGCCCCCUCCAACAUCAGCACUCCGGCCGGCGGCGGCCGGGACCCCCUCUUAGCCCCCCCGGCAGACGGCGCGGCACCCAAAGCGCCGCAGAGUUCGCACGUCGUCCAGAGAGCGAACAGGCCGAGCCCAAACGGCGGUGUGGUUAAACAGAACGGCUCCCUGAGGACCCUUCCCCCGGCCGCCUCCCCCCCGCCGCCCACGGACCCCCACAGGCCGGCCAGACGCAAU
ensembl:lncRNA